GGGGUAACGGCCCACCAAGGCAACGAUCAGUAGGGGUUCUGAGAGGAAGGUCCCCCACAUUGGAACUGAGACACGGUCCAAACUCCUACGGGAGGCAGCAGUGAGGAAUAUUGGUCAAUGGGCGAGAGCCUGAACCAGCCAAGUAGCGUGCAGGAAGACGGCCCUAUGGGUUGUAAACUGCUUUUAUAAGGGAAUAAAGUGAGUCUCGUGAGACUUUUUGCAUGUACCUUAUGAAUAAGGACCGGCUAAUUCCGUGCCAGCAGCCGCGGUAAUACGGAAGGUCCGGGCGUUAUCCGGAUUUAUUGGGUUUAAAGGGAGCGUAGGCCGGAGAUUAAGCGUGUUGUGAAAUGUAGACGCUCAACGUCUGCACUGCAGCGCGAACUGGUUUCCUUGAGUACGCACAAAGUGGGCGGAAUUCGUGGUGUAGCGGUGAAAUGCUUAGAUAUCACGAAGAACUCCGAUUGCGAAGGCAGCUCACUGGAGCGCAACUGACGCUGAAGCUCGAAAGUGCGGGUAUCGAACAGGAUUAGAUACCCUGGUAGUCCGCACGGUAAACGAUGGAUGCCCGCUGUUGGUCUGAACAGGUCAGCGGCCAAGCGAAAGCAUUAAGCAUCCCACCUGGGGAGUACGCCGGCAACGGUGAAACUCAAAGGAAUUGACGGGGGCCCGCACAAGCGGAGGAACAUGUGGUUUAAUUCGAUGAUACGCGAGGAACCUUACCCGGGCUUGAAUUGCAGAGGAAGGAUUUGGAGACAAUGACGCCCUUCGGGGUCUCUGUGAAGGUGCUGCAUGGUUGUCGUCAGCUCGUGCCGUGAGGUGUCGGCUUAAGUGCCAUAACGAGCGCAACCCCUCUCCUUAGUUGCCAUCAGGUUAAGCUGGGCACUCUGGGGACACUGCCACCGUAAGGUGUGAGGAAGGUGGGGAUGACGUCAAAUCAGCACGGCCCUUACGUCCGGGGCUACACACGUGUUACAAUGGCAGGUACAGAGAGACGGUCCCUUGCAAAACGGAUCAAAUCCUUAAAGCCUGUCUCAGUUCGGACUGGGGUCUGCAACCCGACCCCACGAAGCUGGAUUCGCUAGUAAUCGCGCAUCAGCCAUGGCGCGGUGAAUACGUUCCCGGGCCUUGUACACACCGCCCGUCAAGCCAUGAAAGCCGGGGGCGCCUAAAGUCCGUGACCGUAAGGAGCGGCCUAGGGCGAAACUGGUAAUUGGGGCUAAGUCGUAACAAGGUA
rnacentral:rRNA from 1 species